UCAGGCUUUAUGUCUGCCUUGAUGUCUAAAUUGACAGGUUCACAAAUUAAAUAAAACUUUAAACACCAAACUGAAUGUAUUAAAAUAUCUUGGCAGGACUGACUUAUAACUUUGGGAAAAAAGUUGAAGAAAAUGGCUGGAGUUUUUGGACCCGAACAACCUGCAAAUGCGGAUAUUCAGGCUCUUAUCAAUAAUGAAAAUGUCCAAAACGCAGUGGUAGCACAAGCUGGACCAAUAGAAAUGUACAUCGCUAUCGUCUUCAUUGUUCAGAAUUUGAUAGGAGGAACAACCUGGGUUGUAAAGGUGCAAAUUGGAGAGGGAGAAAACGAUUACCUUCACCUGAUGAUCAAUCAAAUCGUUGAUAUUGAUGCACAACCGCAGCUGGGAGGUCUACAACCAGGUCAUACUGCCAAUGAUCCGCUUGUACCGUUCUAAAUAGUCAACGACUUUUAUUGAAGACAUGACAAUAGAUACAUAAUUUUUACUUUUGAAUGGACACUUUAUUAAUCAUAAAAAUAAGAUAAGACAACUUUUUUUGUCCUAAUCAGUGAAGAGAAUUGUUAUUUUAAAUUGCAAAGUAUGUCAUGUGAUAAGAAAGAAUAAACAUAACAUGUUUACAGAA